rnacentral:misc_RNA from 1 species
GAAAUGCGAUAAGUAAUGUGAAUUGCAGAAUUCCGCGAAUCAUCAGAUCUUUGAACGCAAAUGGCGCCGGAGGGAUCUCCUUUCGGCAUGUCUGUUUCAGUGUCUGAGAGGUUUCACCUAAAUCUUAAUGUGAUUGACGAAGGUAAAUGUUUUAUAAUACAUUCAUUCUCCCGAGUCUCUCAUGAAAGAUGCGCAAGUGGAUCUUUCGGUCCAAUGAAGUGGUCACAUCACUCGCAUGUGAUUUCAUUGGAGUAAUAACCAAACCGAAUUAUCCGAUUACUUGUGAAUUUCUAACAUAACAAACUUCCAUACCCUGCAUCUGAGACAGGCAAGAUCACCCGCUGAACUUAA